rnacentral:rRNA from 1 species
GAUGAACGCUGGCGGCGUGCUUAACACAUGCAAGUCGAACGGGAAUUACUUUAUUGAAACUUCGGUCGAUUUAAUUUAAUUCUAGUGGCGGACGGGUGAGUAACGCGUGGGUAACAUGCCUUAUACAGGGGGAUAACAGUCAGAAAUGGCUGCUAAUACCGCAUAAGCGCACAGAGCUGCAUGGCUCAGUGUGAAAAACUCCGGUAGUAUAAGAUGGACCCGCGUUGGAUUAGCUUGUUGGUGGGGUAACGGCCCACCAAGGCGACGAUCCAUAGCCGGCCUGAGAGGGUGAACGGCCACAUUGGGACUGAGACACGGCCCAGACUCCUACGGGAGGCAGCAGUGGGGAAUAUUGCACAAUGGGGGAAACCCUGAUGCAGCGACGCCGCGUGAAGGAAGAAGUAUCUCGGUAUGUAAACUUCUAUCAGCAGGGAAGAUAGUGACGGUACCUGACUAAGAAGCCCCGGCUAACUACGUGCCAGCAGCCGCCGUAA